rnacentral:rRNA from 1 species
AGGUCCUGCCUGCCCAGUGACUAUGUUAAACGGCCGCGGUAUUUUGACCGUGCAAAGGUAGCGCAAUCACUUGUCUUUUAAAUGAAGACCUGUAUGAAUGGUGGAACGAGGGCCUAACUGUCUCCCCUUUCAAGUCAAUGAAAUUGAUCUAUCCGUGCAGAAGCGGGUAUAUAACUACAAGACGAGAAGACCCUUUGGAGCUUAAGAUUAAAGAUCAACUAUGUCAAAUAUUUAUUAAAUAAAACUAAAUAGUAACUGAUCACAAUCUUCGGUUGGGGCGACCACGGAAUAAAAAUAAACUUCCACAUGGACUGAGGACUAACCUUAAAACCAAGAAAGACAUUUCUAAGUCACAGAAUUUCUGACCACACAGAUCCGGCAAAUUGCCGAUCAAUGGACCAAGUUACCCUAGGGAUAACAGCGCAAUCCCCUUUCAGAGUUCCUAUCGACAAGGGGGUUUACGACCUCGAUGUUGGAUCAGGAC